rnacentral:rRNA from 1 species
CAGCAGCCACGGGAAUACGAAGGGGGCUAGCGUUGCUCGGAAUUACUGGGCGUAAAGGGCGCGUAGGCGGAUAGUUUAGUCAGAGGUAAAAGCCCAGGGCUCAACCUUGGAACUGCCUUUGAUACUGGCUAUCUUGAGUUCGGGAGAGGUGAGUGGAAUGCCGAGUGUAGAGGUGAAAUUCGUAGAUAUUCGGCGGAACACCAGUGGCGAAGGCGACUCACUGGCCCGAUACUGACGCUGAGGCGCGAAAGCGUGGGGAGCAAACAGGAUUAGAUACCCCAGUAGUCCCUGUCUCUUAUAC